CAAGGUUUAUAAACUAGGGGCCGGAAAAUAAUAUAUGACCGGAUACCGGGAAAGGGGUGUGACUCCCCUGCAGCCCCCGCUGCUGUAAUGCUGACGAGUCCGCAUAGCCACUGAUGAUAACAUCGGGAAGGGCGGAUAAGAACGACGCAGAGCCAGAAGACCGAUCCGUUCAUACCCGAUCAA
rnacentral:ncRNA from 2 species